GCUGGGGACGGCCGGCAGAUGGCCCGGGUUGGCGAGAAGGGGACCGAAAUGGCAGGGGGAGGCGGGAAUUCGGGCACCUUUGGAAACCCUUUGUCCCUAACCUGAACGGGAGGCACCUCCCCUCUUCCGGAUCCAGCACCCGCAGAUCUGGCGAGCCCUCCCUAAGGUCUGCCCUGUGGAGCUUUGCUUUGGGAACUGAGUGUGAAGCGACCAGGAGGAUUUGUUGAGCGCCGAGAGAGCACCUGUCUAGGCGUGAAGAGGAGGGGGCUAGGUCGUGGAGUGCCUGGUGACCCCACUUGGUUCCACCCGAAGGACCUGGCGCGCCCUUCGCCAGCUUCACCCUGUACUCACCUGGAUUGCACUUGCGUUCCACCUGGGUUUCCCAGUAGGACAGCUGAAGAAGGGGCCACCACCAGCUGUGCAGUUACAGAGACUAUGUGCUUUCCUGCAUGGGUUUUCAAAGCUUUCCAAAUACAUCUGGCUUGAAACCAGCAAUAUUCUUGUAUAACAAUUUUUGGGUUAGAGUGCAGUGGGCCAAUCAUAAUAGCUCACUGCAGCCUCAAAUUUCUGGAAUCGGGGGAUCCUCCCACUUCAGCUUCCUGAGUAGCUGGGACUACAGGAAUAAAAAUGGGCAAUGACGUUUCAAAGUCCAAGUUUAUAGGCAAAGAAGUAUUCUAUUACGUUCACUUCAUGCUGAAACAGCUAUUAAGCCCACAUCUCUACUCCCAUUUCUCCUACUGUGAAAAUGAGGAAAGAAGGUAUUAAAGAAUAGUUAGGCCUGCACUUCAACUCUCAAUCUUAACUUUAAGUGGACAUCCAAAGGCAAUAUAGCUGGAUAAAGUAUCUUCGUCCAAGACUAAGAGAAACACCGUUGAUAGCAGGAGUGAUGAAAGGCAUCAAGCAAAGUGAGGAUGCAGAUGAGAAAAGAAGAUCAGAACACAGAAAUAUCUGAAACAAGUCACAAAUGCAUAGUAUGAGCCCUCAGUGAAUGUACAAGUUAGAGGUGGAGAUAAGUGCUCUGCAGAAAGGAGCAUGACUCUGUGAGAGGAACAGAGGACCACAUGCUGACCUACAAAUCAAGGAAGACUUCCCUGAGGACAUAACCCUUGUUUGGACUCUGUUCUCUUUAUGCUAAGAAUUUUAAUAAGGAGCAAGUAAUUGACAUGAUCCAGUGUACAUUUUUAGAGGAAUAUCACGAGUCCUAUCCCUUCACCUCCUAAAUAUGUCUGACAUCCGUUCCCUAUCCUCCAUCCUCAUGACCUUCACUGGCAUGGGCAUCCAUCAGCUCACUGUGGGGAAAGUUUCCCUCAAAGGGCACUGAUAACACAUCUCAUUAAAACUAUACUACAUCAUUAUACCUCCCCAACAUAAUAUGUACAUGUAUGUAUUUGACCAUAUAUGGAUUACUAUCUUAUGUAUUACAUAUAUUAAGAGCAUUCACAAAAAAUUAAAAAUCCAAAUGGUAAGAUUUUACAUUUUAGAUUUAUUUGAUAACAAUACUUUAUUCUAUUACUAAACAUAUAUUCCUAAUCGUCAUUAAGAUAUUAUCAUGUUAGAAAACUUUGCUUAACUAUACCAUAUCAUUUUUAGAAAUCUUAGUUUAAUAUUCUGUGACACAGAAAUUGACAAGUCUGCUUCCAAAUUUGGUUUAUUUUGAUUCUUUCAUUUAAUGGCUGUCAUAGCUGAAAAAGGACCCCAUAGAGACCCAACAGAGGCAGUGCCUUAUUGGCUAUACCUCCCAAAUGAAGCCAUUUAUUUCUCAAUCUCAUUCACUAAUUUACAAAGAUUUACUGAUUUUUCAUUGUUAGACUGCAAAGGUACACUUAAAUGAGGGUAAUUCUUAAUAAAUAUGUGAAUAAGAACAUGACCUCUACCUUUGUGAAACUUGCACAUUACAGAAGCUCAAUAAAUAUUUGUUGAAUGAAUAAAUGAGGAAAUAGAAUAUUUUUACAGUUAAGUAGUUUUAAUUAUUUUAUAUUUAAAUUUCAAGUCUUUAAAGGAGAAGGAAUUGAAAAAAUGUGAAAUAUUAAAUAUACGUUUACCUCCAUUUUUAAAGGUUAGUAGCUAUAUGCACAAAUCAAAUGAAUAGCAAUUUUUGGAAGUGUAACCAUUUUGGGAAUCUUGUGUGAAUAAAUUACAAUUUUAAAACAUCGAGAAUAAGUGCCCAUUGAAUGUCAUUUUUUAAAAGGAAAAAAGAAACUUUAGUCUCUAUUUAAAAAGUAACAUAUUUAACAGUUUUCUCAUUUAUGCAAAUUAUAUGGAAAAUUCAGAACCCCAACCACCAAAAGAUUACCUUCCAUAAGAGUAAGUGUGGUUUUGGCUUCCAGAAUCAUCUGGAUAAGUGCCAGCAUUCUCCAAGUCACAUUCUUGGUAUGAAAUGAACAUUUGUAAAUGGAGUCUAAUUAAAUUUUGUGCUAAAAAGAA